UAUCAAUAAGCGGAGGAAAAGAAACCAACAGGGAUUGCCCCAGUAACGGCGAGUGAAGCGGCAACAGCUCAAAUUUGAAAUCUGGCCCCUCCCCCCGGGGGGUGCCCGAGUUGUAAUUUGCAGAGGAUGCUUCUGGCGAGGUGCCUUCCGAGUUCCCUGGAACGGGACGCCGCAGAGGGUGAGAGCCCCGUCUGGUCGGACAACCGAGCCUCUGUGAAGCUCCUUCGACGAGUCGAGUAGUUUGGGAAUGCUGCUCUAAAUGGGAGGUAUAUGUCUUCUAAAGCUAAAUACCGGCCAGAGACCGAUAGCGCACAAGUAGAGUGAUCGAAAGAUGAAAAGCACUUUGAAAAGAGGGUUAAACAGUACGUGAAAUUGUUGAAAGGGAAGCGCUCAUGACCAGACCUGGUCCCGGCGAAUCACCCGGCGUUCUCGCCGGUGCACUUCGACGGGCUUCCAGGCCAGCAUCAGUCCGCGCCGGGGGACAAAGGCGGCGGGAACGUGGCUCCCCAGGGAGUGUUAUAGCCCGCCGCGCAAUGCCCCGGGGGCGGACUGAGGCCCGCGCGUCACCGCAAGGAUGCUGGCGUAAUGGUCAUCAGCGACCCGUCUUGAAACACGGACCAAGGAGUCGUCCUCGUAUGCGAGUGUUGGGGCGUCAAACCCCCCGCGCGUAAUGAAAGUGAACGGCAGGUGAGAGCCCUCGCGGGCGCAUCAUCGACCGAUCCUGAUGUUCUCGGAUGGAUUUGAGUAGGAGCAUACGGGGCCGGACCCGAAAGAAGGUGAACUAUGCCUGUGUAGGGUGAAGCCAGAGGAAACUCUGGUGGAGGCUCGCAGCGGUUCUGACGUGCAAAUCGAUCGUCAAACAUGGGCAUGGGGGCGAAAGACUAAUCGAACCUUCUAGUAGCUGGUUUC
rnacentral:rRNA from 1 species